rnacentral:rRNA from 1 species
GGCUGCAACUCGCCUGCAUGAAGUCGGAAUUGCUAGUAAUCGCAGAUCAGCAUGCUGCGGUGAAUACGUUCCCGGGCCUUGUACACACCGCCCGUCACACCAUGGGAGUCGGUAACACCCGAAGUCGGUAGCCUAACCGUAAGGAGGGCGCCGCCGAAGGUGGGAUUGAUGACUGGGGUGAAGUCGUAACAAGGUACC